AAAUUGAAGAGUUUGAUCAUGGCUCAGAUUGAACGCUGGCGGCAGGCCUAACACAUGCAAGUCGAACGGUAACAGGAAGCAGCUUGCUGCUUUGCUGACGAGUGGCGGACGGGUGAGUAAUGUCUGGGAAACUGCCUGAUGGAGGGGGAUAACUACUGGAAACGGUGGCUAAUACCGCAUAACGUCGCAAGACCAAAGAGGGGGACCUUCGGGCCUCUUGCCAUCAGAUGUGCCCAGAUGGGAUUAGCUUGUUGGUGAGGUAACGGCUCACCAAGGCGACGAUCCCUAGCUGGUCUGAGAGGAUGACCAGCCACACUGGAACUGAGACACGGUCCAGACUCCUACGGGAGGCAGCAGUGGGGAAUAUUGCACAAUGGGCGCAAGCCUGAUGCAGCCAUGCCGCGUGUAUGAAGAAGGCCUUCGGGUUGUAAAGUACUUUCAGCGGGGAGGAAGGUGUUGUGGUUAAUAACCGCAGCAAUUGACGUUACCCGCAGAAGAAGCACCGGCUAACUCCGUGCCAGCAGCCGCGGUAAUACGGAGGGUGCAAGCGUUAAUCGGAAUUACUGGGCGUAAAGCGCACGCAGGCGGUCUGUCAAGUCGGAUGUGAAAUCCCCGGGCUCAACCUGGGAACUGCAUUCGAAACUGGCAGGCUUGAGUCUUGUAGAGGGGGGUAGAAUUCCAGGUGUAGCGGUGAAAUGCGUAGAGAUCUGGAGGAAUACCGGUGGCGAAGGCGGCCCCCUGGACAAAGACUGACGCUCAGGUGCGAAAGCGUGGGGAGCAAACAGGAUUAGAUACCCUGGUAGUCCACGCCGUAAACGAUGUCUACUUGGAGGUUGUGCCCUUGAGGCGUGGCUUCCGGAGCUAACGCGUUAAGUAGACCGCCUGGGGAGUACGGCCGCAAGGUUAAAACUCAAAUGAAUUGACGGGGGCCCGCACAAGCGGUGGAGCAUGUGGUUUAAUUCGAUGCAACGCGAAGAACCUUACCUGGUCUUGACAUCCACAGAACUUUCCAGAGAUGGACUGGUGCCUUCGGGAACUGUGAGACAGGUGCUGCAUGGCUGUCGUCAGCUCGUGUUGUGAAAUGUUGGGUUAAGUACCGCAACGAGCGCAACCCUUAUCCUUUGUUGCCAGCGAUUAGGUCGGGAACUCAAAGGAGACUGCCAGUGAUAAACUGGAGGAAGGUGGGGAUGACGUCAAGUCAUCAUGGCCCUUACGACCAGGGCUACACACGUGCUACAAUGGCGCAUACAAAGAGAAGCGACCUCGCGAGAGCAAGCGGACCUCAUAAAGUGCGUCGUAGUCCGGAUUGGAGUCUGCAACUCGACUCCAUGAAGUCGGAAUCGCUAGUAAUCGUGGAUCAGAAUGCCACGGUGAAUACGUUCCCGGGCCUUGUACACACCGCCCGUCACACCAUGGGAGUGGGUUGCAAAAGAAGUAGGUAGCUUAACCUUCGGGAGGGCGCUUACCACUUUGUGAUUCAUGACUGGGGUGAAGUCGUAACAAGGUAACCGUAGGGGAACCUGCGGUUGGAUCACCUCCUUACCUUAAAGAA
rnacentral:rRNA from 1 species